rnacentral:rRNA from 1 species
GAUCAUGGCUCAGGAUGAACGCUAGCGGCAGGCUUAACACAUGCAAGUCGAGGGGCAGCGGGAUGUAGCAAUACAUUGCCGGCGACCGGCGGAUGGGUGCGUAACGCGUAUGCAACCUACCUUAUACAGGGGAAUAACCUUUCGAAAGGGAGACUAACACCCCAUAGUAUUGAUUUAAGGCAUCUUAGAUUAAUUAAAUAUUUAUAGGUAUAAGAUGGGCAUGCGUAUGAUUAGCUAGUUGGUAAGGUAACGGCUUACCAAGGCGACGAUCAUUAGGGGUUCUGAGAGGAAGGUCCCCCACACUGGUACUGAGACACGGACCAGACUCCUACGGGAGGCAGCAGUGAGGAAUAUUGGUCAAUGGGCGCAAGCCUGAACCAGCCAUGCCGCGUGCAGGAAAGACGGCCUUAUGGGUUGUAAACUGCUUCUACAUAAGGCUAACCGUAUAUUUGCGAAUAUACCUGAAUGUAUUAUGAGAAUAAGGAUCGGCUAACUCCGUGCCAGCCGCCGC